UACGAAGGGGGCUAGCGUUGCUCGGAUUGACUGGGCGUAAAGGGCGCGUAGGCGGUUCGUACAGUCAGACGGUGAAAAUUCCUGGGCUCAACCUGGGGGCUGCGUUUGAUACGUGCGGACUUGAGUGCGGAAGAGGGGUCGUGGAAAUUCCCAGUGUAGAGGUGAAAUUCGUAGAUAUUGGGAAGAACACCGGUGGCGAAGGCGGCGACCUGGUCCGAUACUGACGCUGAGGCGCGAAAGCGUGGGGGAGCAAACAGG
rnacentral:rRNA from 1 species